GCCACAGGCGGCUGUGAAGGGAGAACUUCAUGUGAACGUGUAGACCUGCACGCCGAGGAGGGGCCUGGAACAGAUCCAUCCUUCACAGCCUCGGAAGGAACCAACCUGCUGGCACCUCGAUCUCAAAUUCCUGCCUCCAGAACUGGGCGACAAGGCGUUUCUGUUGUUGAAGCCACCCAGGCUGUGGCACUUUGUUAUGGCAGCCCUAGUGAAAGAAUUCAGUCACUUUUAUUUCCAAGGGAAGCCGAGUUAAAUGAGCUCCCUCAAGAGAUCUUCCUGCAAUAUUUGGGACGUGUCUGUGUGUGCGUGGACAGGGCCGUCUGCAGGCGGACCAGCAUGCGGCGCUGGCAGGCACCUCCUGUGUCACCCUUCAGGCAUCCAGGGAAGGAAGCAGAUAAAAUGAAGCUCUUCAUGCCCCAAGUUCCAUUUCUUCUUUGGAAUGCUCGAAGGCUUCCCAGCUGUUCCGUGUUCAGGCCUGGCUUUCGAGAGGCUUCAGGCCGGAGGGGGGAAGGUGGCUGAAGCUGGUCCUCGGUCUCUUCGAGCCCCUCAAAGAACUCUCUGGGUGCAUUAGAAACCAUCCUUGUGCUGCUGGCAGCAGUUGCCAUGCUGCUGAAGAAUGGUGGCAAAGCCCAAAUGGAAAAGGAGUCUUCUGUACUCGUGGCUUCCAACCCCAAAGAACAGAAAGCCAGGGCCCUCAUUCUCCUCUGAACUGUUAUCUGGAUGGUUCACCAGGAGCACAGCUCCUGUGUUCCUCGCUCGCUCCCCCUGAAGGCCCUGAAGACCACAUGAUGUUGCCUGCCACUGUGGGAGUGACACGCUCCCCUGGUCUCAGCCUGGACGGGUCCUGACAGGUUCAGUGAGAGAACAAAGCGUCAUUCUGAGGGUUAAGAAAUGGAAAAUGUGACUCUCAAGGAUUAUACACAACUAAAACUGUGUGAAACUGCAAUGAGUACCCGGGCAAUAGGGAAGUAGGAAUUUCUCACCAACCCACGUGCCAGGAUCCAGCCUCAACACUUGUGAGGAUCCAGCCUCAACGCUCUGCACAUCUCCAGUGUGGAACAGCACCAUGCGCCUAAUGAGUUCUUCUCUGACUGAUUGAUUGAUUGAUUACUAAAACACUCAGCGCUCCUGGCAAAGCAGUUCUCACUCUGUUGAACAAAUUAUCUUUAUGCACUGCAGUCUCUUGAGCUUAGAUGAAGGCAAGCUCACUGUAAUCUUCAGAUCAUUUAGCAAUGUCUUGGAAUCACUGGAUAUGACAAAAUAUCCAGGCAUGUGGAAUAGGAAGGGGGAAGAAAAGCAGGACUUGGAGGGACUAUGCUAGUGGAUUUCAACUCUAUAUUUUCUAAUCUGAACCAGGGGCAGGCAAACUACUGCCUUGUAGGCCAAAUCUGGCCAGUGGCCUGUUUUAUUACUGAUUGAUUGAUUGACGGGGUCUUGUCUUGCUCUGUCACCCAGGCUGGAGUGCAUUGGCUUGAUCAUUGCUCACUGCAGCCUCGAACUCUUGGACUCAAGCCAUCCUCCCACCUCAGCUGCCCAAGUAGCUAGGACUACAGGCGUGCACUGCAACGCCUGGCUAAAAAAUAUAUAUAUAUAUAUAUAUAUAUAUAAUUAUUAUUUAUUAUUUUUUUUUUUUGUAGAAAUGGCAUCUUGCUGUGUUGCCCAGGCUGGUCUUUAACUCCUGGCCCCAAGCAAUCCCUGACUUUAUGGCACUUGCUCAGCCUGGUGUGACAGUGUCUGUCUCCUGGAGGCCAGGAGCCCCUGGCAUGCAGCCAGCAUGCCCCAUUUAUAAUCGUAGCCCAGCACAUGGAAGGGACCCAAGAGAAUGACAGCAACGUUGGCUUUGCCAUUUCAACCCUGAACCUCAUUUUACUGUUCUAUUCAUAUUAUCUGGGGGACAAAAUUUUCCCACAUUCCUUUCUGUUGGUGCCACCAUCUCUGUGCCUCCAUGUGCUGCUGACCUGCCAAGCCCAUGGCCAGCUCAGCACUCGGAUUUUAUUUGGUCUCUCGGUAUGGGUUCCUUUAUCAGCAUUUCAAAAAGCUUUUGUGUUUUAUCCAUAAUUGAUUAAAGUUUGUAGCUGUGAAUAAAAGAUUGAUUAAAAGCAACAACAGCAAAACAGCUCUUGUUUUUCUUCACCAUCUGCCUUUCCCCAGAAGAGUCUCCCACCUCCAAGCAGACAGUCCUCGACGUGGAUCCACACAACCUUACAAGUUUUCCUUAGACCCAAGAAAGGGAGGUGUGGGGAAUGAUCGUUACUUGCUGAUACUUACUGAUAUUGCAAUGCCAGCAAUAAG
rnacentral:lncRNA from 10 species